CCUACGGGUGGCAGCAGUGAGGAAUAGUGGUCAAUGGCCGGAAGGCUGAACCAGCCAUGCCGCGUGAAGGACAGGGACCUAUGGGCGUUAAACUUCUUUUGUGCGGGAGCAAGAAUGGUCACGUGGGGCCAGACGAGAGUACCGUACGAAUAAGCAUCGGCUAACUCCGGGCCAGCAGCCGCGGUAAUACGGGGGAUGCAAGCGUUAUCCGGAGUUAUGGGGUUUCAAGGGUGCGUAGGCUGGGAGGUAAGUCAGCGGGGAAAUGCCCCCGCUCAACGGGGGGAAGUGCCAUUGAUACUGCCUUGCUGGCCUGCGGAUGCCGUGGGCGGAAUUUGUGGUGUAGCGGUGA
rnacentral:rRNA from 1 species